rnacentral:rRNA from 1 species
UACGGAGGGUGCAAGCGUUAUCCGGAUUCACUGGGUUUAAAGGGUGCGUAGGCGGUCGGGUAAGUCUGAUGUGAAAUCUCACAGCUUAACUGUGAAACUGCAUUGGAUACUAUUCGGCUUGAGAGUUGGAGGGGGGACUGGAAUUCUUGGUGUAGCAGUGAAAUGCGUAGAUAUCAAGAGGAACACCAGUGGCGAAGGCGAGUCCCUGGACAACUUCUGACGCUGAGGCACGAAAGCUAGGGGAGCAAACAGG